rnacentral:rRNA from 1 species
AGGACGAACGCUGGCGGCGUGCUUAACACAUGCAAGUCGAGCGGAAAGGCCCUUCGGGGUACUCGAGCGGCGAACGGGUGAGUAACACGUGAGUAACCUGCCCCUAGCUCUGGGAUAGCUCCGGGAAACCGGGAUUAAAUACCAGAUACGACCACUUUAGACAUCUGUCGUGGUGGAAAGGAUUCCGGCUAGGGAUGGGCUCGCGGCCUAUCAGCUUGUUGGUGGGUAACGCCUACCAAGGCGACGAC